rnacentral:rRNA from 1 species
AUUGAACGCUGGCGGCAUGCUUUACACAUGCAAGUCGAACGGUAACAGGUUAAGCUGACGAGUGGCGAACGGGUGAGUAAUGCAUCGGAACGUGCCCGGUCGUGGGGGAUAACGCAGCGACAGCUGCGCUAAUACCGCAUACGAUCUAAGGAUGAAAGCGGGGGACCGUAAGGCCUCGCGCGAUCGGAGCGGCCGAUGUCAGAUUAGUUAGUUGGUGGGGUAAAGGCUCACCAAGCCAACGAUCUGUAGCUGGUCUGAGAGGACGACCAGCCACACUGGGACUGAGACACGGCCCAGACUCCGACGGGAGGCAGCAGUGGGGAAUUUUGGACAAUGGGCGAAAGCCUGAUCCAGCAAUGCCGCGUGCAGGAAGAAGGCCUUCGGGUUGUAAACUGCUUUUGUACGGAGCGAAAAGGUCUCCUCUAAUACAGGGGGCUCAUGACGGUACCGUAAGAAUAAGCACCGGCUAACUACGUGCCAGCCGCCGCGGUAA